CGAGUGGCGAACGGGUGAGUAACACGUGGGUGAUCUGCCUUGCACUUCGGGAUAAGCUUGGGAAACUGGGUCUAAUACCGGAUAGGACAGCUGUUUAGUGUCAGUUGUGGAAAGUUUUUUCGGUGCAAGAUGAGCUUGCGGCCUAUCAGCUUGUUGGUGGGGUAAUGGCCUACCAAGGCGUCGACGGGUAGCCGGCCUGAGAGGGUGUACGGCCACAUUGGGACUGAGAUACGGCCCAGACUCCUACGGGAGGCAGCAGUGGGGAAUAUUGCACAAUGGGCGGAAGCCUGAUGCAGCGACGCCGCGUGGGGGAUGAAGGCCUUCGGGUUGUAAACUCCUUUCGACAGGGACGAAGCGUAAGUGACGGUACCUGUAUAAGAAGCACCGGCUAACUACGUGCCAGCAGCCGCGGUAAUACGUAGGGUGCGAGCGUUGUCCGGAAUUACUGGGCGUAAAGAGCUCGUAGGUGGUUUGUCGCGUCGUCUGUGAAAUUCCGGGGCUUAACUCCGGGCGUGCAGGCGAUACGGGCUGACUUGAGUGCUGUAGGGGAGACUGGAAUUCCUGGUGUAGCGGUGAAAUGCGCAGAUAUCAGGAGGAACACCGAUGGCGAAGGCAGGUCUCUGGGCAGUAACUGACGCUGAGGAGCGAAAGCAUGGGUAGCGAACAGGAUUAGAUACCCUGGUAGUCCAUGCCGUAAACGGUGGGCGCUAGGUGUAGGGGGCUUCCACGUCUUCUGUGCCGUAGCUAACGCAUUAAGCGCCCCGCCUGGGGAUACGCCGCA
rnacentral:rRNA from 1 species